CCAAACCCAGGCCCGCGGGCCACGAAGUGGCCCGUCAACGCUUUUGGAUUUGCCCGCCAACAUCUAUACUCUAUAGUCUAUGACAUUUUAAAUUAUUAUUAAUAUUUCUUUUAAGUUUAAAUUUUGUUGUAUAUUUUAUUUUAUAUACGUGUGUGUAUCAAAUUAGCACUAGGACCAUUCCACACAGCAAUGUUAUCGGGUUUUCCUGUGAUGACCGGAUGCGUUUUACCCGAACCCGCAUUUGUCGCGAUGUUAAUCGGUAUUAUUUUUAUGUUUAUAGAUUAUCUUGAUUGUCCGUCGACGUAGUCGUCGUAUAUCGGCGAAUUAAGAUAAUAAAUUGUUAUUCGAAAUAUUGUACAAACAGCGACCAAAAUCAGUCGCUCCGCACCCGCCUUUUGCUACGGUCGUAAAAAUAAUACGUACAACUUAAUAAAUAUUAAAUUAUUUUGUAAUAAUUGCGUUUAUUCUGUGUUUUUACUUGUUAAUUUUAAGCCAGAAUGGCUCUCAGCAAACCAAUUACGUCGAAAUUGAAAGAACGUUCUCGGACAUUUCACGAAGAAUGGGAGAUGCAAUAUUGCUUUACUGAAAGCAAAGCAUUGAAGCCCAUAUGUCUUAUUUGCUCCACUACGAUUGCCGUCGCCAAAAAAUAUAAUUUAGAACGGCAUUUUAAACAAAAUCAUUCAAGUAUUAAUAAAAACUACCCGGAAGGAAGUUCUCUAAGAGCUGAGUUUAUAAAGAAGAAAAAAAAAGAAAUAUUUGGUCAGCAGAAUCUGUUUCCAAAAAUAAAAAGCCUUUUUCUGAUGGGGAAAUUAUUAAAGAGGCUUUAUCAAUUUUUUCUAAUAACUGUAAUGAUAAAAAUAUAAAAACUAAAGCAGACGGUAUUUCACUUUCGAGAAAUACUGUAACAAGACGAGUAGAGGAGAUGUCAAACGAUAUUAGCAACCAAAUAACACAAACCGUAACGAAAUAUUUAUUAGAGCUCAGCCAGUUGGAAACUACAAGUACCGGAAGAGACAUAUUUAUGAAAAUCAAGGAAUGUGUCGACAGAAAAGGUAUAGCAUGGGAAAAAAUUAAUUCUGUUUGUACUGAUGGAGCACCCGCUAUGACGGGAAAAAUAAAUGGUUG